rnacentral:rRNA from 1 species
CAUAUUCCUGCACUGUUAUGUGCUGCGAUGGGGUGACGGAGAAGGCUAGGCUAGCCAUCGAAUGGUGGUGGUGGUUUAAGCGCGUAGGAGGUGUUUUUAGGCAAAUCCGGAGACACAAUACUCUGAGACGUGAUGACGAGCGGUUCGGAAGAACAGCGAAGUAGUUGAUGCCCAGCUUCCAAGAAAAGCCUCUAAGCAUAAGUACAUGAGAACCGUACCGUAAACCGACACAGGUGGACAGGUAGAGAAUACUAAGGCGUUUGAGAUAACUUAGGUGAAGGAACUCGGCAAAAUGGCACCGUAACUUCGGGAGAAGGUGCGCCUUUGAAGGUUAAGCCCUUGCGGUGUAAGCUUUUGAAGGUCGAAGAUACCAGGUGGCUGCGACUGUUUAUUAAAAACAUAGCACUCUGCGAACUCGAAAGAGGAAGUAUAGGGUGUGACGCCUGCCCGGUGCCGGAAGGUUAAUUGAAGGGGUUAUCUUCGGAGAAGCUCUGGAUCGAAGCCCCGGUAAACGGCGGCCGUAACAAUAACGGUCCUAAGGUAGCGAAAUUCCUUGUCGGGUAAGUUCCGACCUGCACGAAUGGCGUAACGAUAGCCACACUGUCUCCACCUAAGGCUCAGUGAAGUUGAAAUUGCUGUGAAGAUGCAGUGUACCCGCGGCAAGACGGAAAGACCCCGUGCACCUUUACUACAACUUUGCAUUGGAUUUUGAGUGUGUCUGUGUAGGAUAGGUGGGAGGCUAUGAAGCAUGUUCGCUAGAAUGUGUGCAGCCGACCUUGAAAUACCACCCUGAGAUACUUGAGAUUCUAACCAUGUUCUGUGAAACCAGGAUUGGGAAAGUGUAUGGUGGGUAGUUUGACUGGGGCGGUCUCCUCCCAAAGAGUAACGGAGGAGCGCGAAGGUACCCUCGUCAUGGUCGGAAAUCAUGAUAUGAGUGCAAAAGCAAAAGGGUGCUUGACUGCGAGACGGACAAGUCGAGCAGGUACGAAAGUAGGUUUUAGUGAUCCGGUGGUUCUGAAUGGAAGGGCCAUCGCUCAACGGAUAAAAGGUACGCCGGGGAUAACAGGCUGAUACCGCCCAAGAGUUCACAUCGACGGCGGUGUUUGGCACCUCGAUGUCGGCUCAUCACAUCCUGGGGCUGAAGCAGGUCCCAAGGGUAUGGCUGUUCGCCAUUUAAAGUGGUACGCGAGCUGGGUUUAGAACGUCGUGAGACAGUUCGGUCCCUAUCUGCCGUGGGCGCUGGAGAUUUGAGAGGAGUUGUUCCUAGUACGAGAGGACCGGAAUGAACGCACCUCUGGUGUACCGGUUGUCACGCCAGUGGCAUUGCCGGGUAGCUAAGUGCGGAGAGGAUAACCGCUGAAAGCAUCUAAGCGGGAAGCCUACCUCAAGAUAAGAUCUCCCGGGGCUAUAAGCCCCCUAAAGGUCUGUUGAAGACGACGACGUAGAUAGGCAGGGUGUGUAAGCGCUGAGAGGCGUUGAGCUAACCUGUACUAAUUGACCGUGCGGCUUGACCAU